GCGGGCGUAGUUCAGUGGUAGAACGUCAGCUUCCCAAGCUGAAUGUCGUCGGUUCGAUCCCGAUCGCCCGCU
rfam:Hyphomicrobium sp. SCN 65-11 ABS54_C0210, whole genome shotgun sequence.